UAAAUUUAACAUAAAGUACCUUUGCACAGUCCAUUAAUUGCAAUCAACAAUGCUCUCUAGUUGUCAUGUAAGUACACGAACAAAACUAAAAUUUGCAUCUACUAACCACUUAAUUCAGCAGUCUACCAACUUCUAUUAUUUGGUUUUGAAAAACUUGCAAAUUCAGUAACGCUAGCAAUUAGGCACCCUUGAUAUACACACAUCAAAUACCUAUCUGUAUAUAUAUUUGCAAAAAAAAAAAAA
rnacentral:misc_RNA from 1 species